rnacentral:rRNA from 1 species
UACGAAAUGUGCGAGCGUUGUUCGGAAUUACUGGGCAUAAAGGGUCCGUAGGUGGUUUUGUAAGUCGGGUGUGAAAUCCCUCGGCUCAACCGAGGAAUUGUUUCCGAUACUGCAAGACUUGAGGGCGAAAGGGGCAAGUGGAAUUCCGGGUGUAGCGGUGGAAUGCGUAGAUAUCCGGGAGAACGCCGAAAGAGAAGUCAGCUUGCUGGGUCGCUUCUGACACUGAGGGACGAAAGCUAGGGGAGCAAACAGGAUUAGAUACCCUGGUAGUCCUAGCCGUAAACGAUGGGUACUUUGUAUCGGAGGGCCUGAUCCCUUCGGUGCCGGAGUUAACGCGUUAAGUACCCCGCCUGGGGAGUAUGGUCGCAAGGCUAAA